AUUAAUGAGCUUGAAAUAAGCAUAUGCUUUGAAAGCAUAAGAUAGUAGUAUAAUCUACUAUUAAUUU
rnacentral:tRNA from 1 species